UGGCGGACGGGUGAGUAACGCGUGGGUAUCUAUCCAUGGGUGGGGGAUAACGGCGGGAAACUGCUGCUAAUACCGCAUGAUGCCCGAGGGCCAAAGGCGCAAGUCGCCUGUGGAGGAGCCUGCGUCCGAUUAGCUAGUUGGUGGGGUAACUGCCUACCAAGGCUACGAUCGGUAGCUGGUCUGAGAGGAUGAUCAGCCACACUGGGACUGAGACACGGCCCAGACUCCUACGGGAGGCAGCAGUGGGGAAUAUUGGACAAUGGGCGAAAGCCUGAUCCAGCAAUGCCGCGUGGAUGAAGAAGGUCUUCGGAUUGUAAAGUCCUUUCGGCGGGGACGAUAAUGACGGUACCCGCAGAAGAAGCCCCGGCUAACUUCGUGCCAGCAGCCGCGGUAAUACGAAGGGGGCUAGCGUUGCUCGGAAUGACUGGGCGUAAAGGGCGCGUAGGCGGUUUGGUUAGUUAGACGUGAAAUUCCCGGGCUCAACCUGGGGACUGCGUUUAAGAC
rnacentral:rRNA from 1 species